AGGUUUGACCUCGGAUCAGGUAGGGGUACCCGGUUCAC
rnacentral:rRNA from 1 species